AUGAACGCUGGCGGCGUGCCUAAUACAUGCAAGUCGAACGGGUGUAGCAAUACAUUAGUGGCGAACGGGUGAGUAACACGUUGGUGACCUGCCCUAAAGAGGGGAAUACCACUUCGAAAGGAGUGACAAAACCGCAUAAGCUGUGACGAGUUAGAGGAGUCAUAGUAAAAGAGCGAUCUACUUUAGGAGGGGCCUGCGGCCCAUCAGCUAGUUGGUGAGGUAAUGGCCCACCAAGGCGAAGACGGGUAGGGGACCUGAGAGGGUGAUCCCCCACAAUGGAACUGAAACACGGUCCAUACACCUGCGGGUGGCAGCAGUAGGGAAUAUUGCUUAAUGGGCGAAAGCCUGAAGCAGCAACGCCGCGUGAACGAAGGAGGCCUUCGGGUCGUAAAGUUCUUUUACGUGGGAUGAGGAAGGACAGUACCACGAGAAUAAGUCUCGGCUAACUACGU
rnacentral:rRNA from 1 species